CUGAGAUAAAAAUGCAAAAUUCCUUAUUGCUUUUUGUAAUAAAUAACAAUAGGCCAAAACGUUUGUGGAAACACGUAAGCAAGUACAUCAAUUUACAAAAUUCCCAUUUGACGUUGUAUUGUAGGAAAGGCAUGGUAAUUUUUGGGAGCUCGGCGUUGCUUUCAAUAGUGUGGUCAAGGAGAGCUUCAGAAUGAGUCGGGAAUCAUUCAAAAUUUUAUGUAAUGAGCUAACAAACAUUGGCAAACGUGAUACUACAUACAGGCAAUGUAUUCCAUUAGAAAAAAGAACAGCUAUCGCUUUGUGUGCCCUUGGUUCUUCUGGAAGACUAUUCGGGGUUUCCAAAGCGUCUGUAUGUUUUGUCCUUAAAGACUUUUGCAGAGCGGUGUGGGAUAUACUAUCGUCUAAAUAUUUAGCCAGCUCAUUUCUUACGCAAGAAAAAAUUACGGAGUGCGUUGAAUUAUUUAGAAAAAUUGGAUUUCCCCAAUGUCUGGGCGGAGUAGAAGGAUGUCAUAUAUAGAUUAGGCCCUCCGUAUCUGAUGUUGUUGACUAUUUCAACUACAAAGGUUCCUCGUCUACAAACGGCAAUUGUUCCUGGGAAUCCAGCGUAAUGAAAGAGCUGUAAUGAAUUAGUUUAUAAAAAUAAAUAUAAACUUUUCAAAUUUCUGUUUUGUUUUACUAACCUGUGCUCUCCUCCACCAAUGUUUCCAAAUCGAAGCUUUUAUAGCUCCCGAGGAUACUAUUUAUUUUGGGGUAGAAUUCCCAUGUCGAAAGGCUGCCGCCAGAGGGACCAAUAGAUUUCCUCUCAUCUCUGUAAAAUUUUUUGUAAUUUUU